CCGGCCGCCUUCACGCCACUAUCCCCGCUGCACACACAGUUCAUUGCGGUGGUGCCACUGUGAACAGAGGCGUUACGUGCUGCUGUGCUAUGCCCUCCUCCCCUAGCGCCCUGUUUAAAGGAAUCCGUUUGCACUGCAGUGGGUUGAGUCCGUCGCAAUUGCAAGGAGGAGACGAGAUGCGCACACUCUGGCACAGUACAGGUGGUGUCAAACCAGAGAGAGCCUCCAGAGGACAAUCUUUAGAAGAUGGAAACUUUGGGCUAAUAUGAAGAUCUGAUCCUGUCACUCUUACUCAUAUGAGGAGUCAACAUGAAGUCAAGAUAAAACAGUAUUAGAAGUUAAUCAUCAAUCCCUGGUGUUUCACCCUGUUGUAUUCUGGAGGCUAUUCUGAUGGCUUCUUCCAAAGACUGCUGCUCUCCAAGCUGAAACAAUGGUAGUGCCUGAGCCCAGCGCAUCUUAGACAAAGGAACGUUGUUUCGCCCAGCUUGACAAUGUCUCCAAUGUAAAUUAACCAAGGUGAGAUCAAAGACAAUGAAAAAGGCAUUUACGUGUAAGGUAAACAAAGUCAUCAGGUGAGCAACUGGCAGAAGAUGACCACUUAACAAUCACGACAGGGGAUUGUGGCUGCACCACCCAGACGCCUUCCUGCCUCUUGAAACAAGAUCAAUGAACUUUGGGAAGAUAUAAGCAGAAGCAAAAAGCCAUUUUGUGAUCCAUCAUAGGACGGAGACAAAGGGCCAGAGCUCUUGUAAUCUGAGAAAGUUGGAUCCUUCAACCAAGGGGGAUGAAGUGUCUGGGAACUGCCUCUAGAUGAGGAACCUGCUUAAACAGAGAUUAAAAAGUUUUAGUCACUACAAAGCGUGUUUUGUUUUGUUUUACUUGUAACCAGCUCUGUGCCUUCUAUUCUUACUUA